UACGUAGGGGGCAAGCGUUGUCCGGAUUCAUUGGGCGUAAAGAGCGUGUAGGCGGCCAGGUAGGUCGGUUGUGAAAACUGGAGGCUCAACCUUCAGAGGUCGACCGAAACCAUCUGGCUAGAGUCCGGGAGAGGAGAGUGGAAUUCCUGGUGUAGCGGUGAAAUGCGCAGAUAUCAGGAAGAACACCCGUGGCGAAAGCGGCUCUCUGGAACGGUACUGACGCUGAGACGCGAAAGCGUGGGGAGCGAACAGGAUUAGAUACCCUGGUAGUCCACGCCGUAAACGAUGGGCGCUAGGUGUGGGAGGUGUCGACUCCUUCCGUGCCGCAGCUAACGCAUUAAGCGCCCCGCCUGGGGAGUACGGCCGCAAGGCUA
rnacentral:rRNA from 1 species